rnacentral:misc_RNA from 1 species
GCCAGACUGAAGAUCUG